GAUGAACGCUGGCGGCGUGCCUAAUACAUGCAAGUCGAGCGAACGGACGAGAAGCUUUCUUCUCUGAUGUUAGCGGCGGACGGGUGAGUAACACGUGGAUAACCUACCUAUAAGACUGGGAUAACUUCAGGAAACCGGAUCUAAUACCGGAUAAUAUUUUGAACCUCAUGGUUCAAAAGUGAAAGACGUUCUUGCUGUCACUUAUAGAUGGAUCCGAGCUGCAUUAGCUAGUUGGUAAGGUAACGGCUUACCAAGGCAACGAUGCAUAGCCGACCUGAGAGGGUGAUCGGCCACACUGGAACUGAGACACGGUCCAGACUCCUACGGGAGGCAGCAGUAGGGAAUCUUCCGCAAUGGGCGAAAGCCUGACGGAGCAACGCCGCGUGAGUGAUGAAGGUCUUCGGAUCGUAAAGCUCUGUAAGUAGGGAAGAAGAUAUGUGUAAGUAACUGUGCACAUCUUGACGGUACCUACUGAGAAAGCACCGGCUAACUACGUG
rnacentral:rRNA from 1 species